rnacentral:rRNA from 1 species
UACGUAGGGUGCAAGCGUUAAUCGGAAUUACUGGGCGUAAAGGGCGCGUAGGCGGCCAUCUAAGUCAGACGUGAAAUCCCUCGGCUCAACCGAGGAACUGCGUCUGAUACUGGAAGGCUUGAAUCCGGGAGAGGGAUGUGGAAUUCCAGGUGUAGCGGUGAAAUGCGUAGAUAUCAAGAGGAACACCUGAGGUGAAGACGGGUUGCUGGGCUGACACUGACGCUGAGGCGCGAAAGCCAGGGGAGCAAACGGG